AGUCACUGUCACUGUCACGAUUUAUCUUUUUUUAGUUACUGUUUAGUUUAGUUUUUCUAAUUCUAAAAUAAUUGAUUUUAAACUCUUUAAAAACCUUUACCAGAGACUUGACGAAACGGGUUCAUUCAGGCCAAGCGAGAUGUUGGGCAUCCAAAUAAACGUAAUGUGGACCAAGAAGAAGAAGUGUUAGUCCAGGUUGCUGAAGAUCCAGAAAUAAGUGUAAGGUGUAUGGCGGCAAGAACUGGAAUUAGAAUGUCAUUUACCAAAACUUACGUGUAACUGAGGGUAUCUUCAGGUAUACAGGAUAAAAUUUUAAGAGACUCAUCAAAAUUGCCUUUAAGGUAAUGCAAAUUAGCCGAGAGGAAUAGUGCUUCAAUCUUCUAGAAAAGCAAAACUGGUAUUUCCCUCGUAGCAAUACUUAAAGAGUGAUUUAGAAGGUAGCAUCUCACUUUAUAUUUUAACAAUUUUUUUUGAAAGUCCUCUGGGAUGGGCUUAGCAGUAGGCAAGGGAAACUAAAAACAAAUUACUAUAUUAUCCCAAAUUUGAAAGUUUUUUAUACCUGAAAAUUAUGGGGAAGAUUAUGAUGGAACAAUAAAAUGACUUGUCUCUAACAGUAAAAAUUUACUGAGUGAAUAGCAGAGGAAUACGUCUUGCGCAUAAGGCGGGCAGCCUCCAGAAUAAAAAUUGAUGGCUUGUUAAAAUGUGAUAAUGGAUGGUGCAAGGUCGGCAACAGUCUCUAGGUUAAAAUCCACAUCACGCUUUUGCAACACAAAUGAUGGGUUUGGCAGGGUAUCCGGGGGCAUUUCCCCAAAAGUAAACCCUUAUGAUGAAGGGAGAUUCGGCUAUUAAGAAAUUUAGGGUCAUUCAAGUGUAGCUUUUAGUUCAACAAUGUCUAUAGACUAACAGGCGUUUAAUUAUUCGUAUGAACCGGUGAUUCUGAACAGCAAGAAAAUAAUCCUCAGCCCCCGAUCGUGCAAUCAGAGGAAGCAAAAGAAAAAUUUUUGAGUUCUGAGGUUUUGCAGAUACUUGGCGAUGAGCCAAUAAAUAAGACCGUCUUAGGACCUCCAAUUUAUGCCUGCUACUACUGCUUUAGUCCCUCGCUGGAGUAAUAUUUUACAGAAUGGUUUAAGUGAGGAGAAUAUUCAAGUUCUUUUCCAAAAACAUAUAAUACCCGAAAAUUUUAAGUCUCUGGAAGUACCUCAGUUAAAUCCCGAGGUUGAGGCAGCCUUAACUGCUCAAAUAUUCCACAGAGAUGAGCGCCUGGUGCGAAAACAGCAGUUUGUGGCUGCAAGCAUAUCAGCAAUUUCCCAAGCCUUAACUUUGAUGCUAGCUGAAGAAGGAGGGGGCAACAACGUAUAUAUGCAAUACCUAAGUAAUGCUGGCCGCCUAUUGUGUCAUCUACACCAUCUUGACACCAUGACACGCAAAGAUCUUAUUUCUAUAAAUUUGAAUAAGGAUCUAAAAGAUACGCUCUCUGCUGCGCCUACUGAUAAUUUUUUGUUUGAUCAAGCAUUGGAAGAACGAGUGAAGGCUGCAAAAAACCUGGAAAAAUCAGGCGAGGAACUUAAGAAGGUUAAGCCGAAAACUGCUAAGAAACCUGUCAGUCGCACUCAUUUAAACUCCAGGGGUCCAGCUCAGUUGCAGGGGAGCACCCGAGCUGGACAAUAUUACAAGAGACCUUAUUUUCAAGGGAGUUUUCAACAAAAUACAAUUUUUUCAGAUUUCAGAUGAUCUCUAAUUGAAAAUAUAAUUUCUGUUUCAGAA